rnacentral:rRNA from 1 species
UACGGAGGAUCCGAGCGUUAUCCGGAUUUAUUGGGUUUAAAGGGUGCGUAGGCGGUUUGAUAGGUUAGAGGUGAAAUGUCGGGGCUCAACCCCGAAACUGCCUCUAAUACUGUUGGACUAGAGAAUAGUUGCGGUAGGCGGAAUGUAUGGUGUAGCGGUGAAAUGCUUAGAGAUCAUACAGAACACCGAUUGCGAAGGCAGCUUACCAAACUAUAUCUGACGUUGAGGCACGAAAGCGUGGGUAGCAAACAGG